rnacentral:rRNA from 1 species
UAACACGGGGGGAGCAAGCGUUGUUCGGAAUCACUGGGCGUAAAGGGUACGCAGGCGGGAAGACAGGUUGGAUGUGAAAACCCACGGCUCAACCAUGGGCUUGCAUCUGAAACCAUCUUUCUUGAGUAUCGGAGAGGAAAGCGGAACUCCUGGUGUAGCGGUGAAAUGCGUAGAUAUCAGGAGGAACACCCGUGGCGAAGGCGGCUUUCUGGCCGAAUACUGACGCUCAUGUACGAAGGCCGGGGGAGCAAACAGGAUUAGAUACCCUGGUAGUCCCGGCGGUAAACGAUGGGUACUAGGUGUUGGAGGAGUCGACCCCUUCAGUGCCGCAGCUAACGCAUUAAGUACCCCGCCUGGGGAGUACGACCGCAAGGUUG